rnacentral:rRNA from 1 species
AUUGAACGCUGGCGGCAUGCUUUACACAUGCAAGUCGAACGGUAACAGGCCGCAAGGUGCUGACGAGUGGCGAACGGGUGAGUAAUGCAUCGGAACGUGCCCAGUCGUGGGGGAUAACGCAGCGAAAGCUGCGCUAAUACCGCAUACGAUCUAUGGAUGAAAGCGGGGGACCGUAAGGCCUCGCGCGAUUGGAGCGGCCGAUGUCAGUUUAGCUAGUUGGUGGGGUAAAGGCCUACCAAGGCAACGAUAUGUAGUUGGUCUGAGAGGACGACCAGCCACACUGGGACUGAGACACGGCCCAGACUCCUACGGGAGGCAGCAGUGGGGAAUUUUGGACAAUGGGCGCAAGCCUGAUCCAGCAAUGCCGCGUGCAGGAAGAAGGCCUUCGGGUUGUAAACUGCUUUUGUCAGGGAAGAAAUCUUCUGGGCUAAUACCCUGGGAGGAUGACGGUACCUGAAGAAUAAGCACCGGCUAACUACGUGCCAGCAGCCGCCGUAAGAC